GACGAACGCUGGCGGCGUGCUUAACACAUGCAAGUCGAGCGGAGCGGCGGACGGGUGAGUAACGCGUGAGUAACUGCCCCCCUCUCUGUGAUAACAGUUGGAAACGGCUGCUAAUACCUGAUAUUGGGGGAUGACUCGGGUCCUAUCAGCUUGUUGGUGGGGUAGUGGCCUACCAAGGCGACGACGGGUACCCGGCCUGGGCGGGCGAACGGCCAAAUUGGGCUGGGAUACGGCCCAAACUCCUACGGGAGGCCGCCGGGGGGAAUAUUGCACAAUGGGGGAAAACCUGAUGAAGCAACGCCGCGGGCUGGAUGACGGCCUUCGGGUUGUAAAGCUAUGUUAAGCGGGACGGUGAAUAGCUUAAGGAAGUGACGGUACCGGAAAAGCAAGCAACGGCUAACUACGUGCCAGCAGCCGCGGUAAUUC
rnacentral:rRNA from 1 species